GACGAACGCUGGCGGCGUGCUUAACACAUGCAAGUCGAACGAUGAAGCCGGAGCUUGCUCUGGUGAAUUAGUGGCGAACGGGUGAGUAACACGUGAGUAACCUGCCCUUGACUCUGGGAUAACUGCGGGAAACUGUAGCUAAUACCGGAUACGACCCUCGGAGGCAUCUCCUGGGGGUGGAAAGAAUUUCGGUCAAGGAUGGACUCGCGGCCUAUCAGCUAGUUGGUGUGGUAAAGGCUCACCAAGGCGACGACGGGUAGCCGGCCGGAGAGGGUGACCGGCCACACUGGGACUGAGACACGGCCCAGACUCCUACGGGAGGCAGCAGUGGGGAAUAUUGCACAAUGGGCGCAAGCCUGAUGCAGCAACGCCGCGUGAGGGAUGACGGCCUUCGGGUUGUAAACCUCUUUUAGCAGGGAAGAAGCGAAAGUGACGGUACCUGCAGAAAAAGCACCGGCUAACUACGUGCCAGCAGCCGCAGUAA
rnacentral:rRNA from 1 species